UCAUUUCUUUUCCUUCGUUAGUCAACCAAAUGAUUUAACACUAUUCUCACAUAAUCAUAUUUUUCUUCUUUUCUCUUUGCUCCUAGUAGUUAUCCUUCCUUUUUUUCUUUUCCACUGAAACAAACAGACAAGGUAAAAUGUAUGUAUUGGUGGGAGUACAAUAACAGUGUAAGUAACUCUUUUAGAUUAGGGAAGCCAAAUGUAAUAUAGAAACCACAAAUAAAUCAAGAAUUUAAGGCAUUGCAUUGUCAAUUUAAAGUUGUUGUGUUAUUGAUUUAGAAUUUCGUCGCAUUGUCAAUUUAAAGUUGUGUUAUUGAUUUAGAAUUUCGGCUUAGUAAUCAGAUUCUUAGGAGUGGGGCGAAGCUGGCCCAUUUACUUAAGGCUAUGCCUCAUAGACAGUAAAUAUGCAAGUUGUGUUAUUGAUUUAGAACGCUGUCUUAGUAAUCAAAAACAUUUUACGUUUUAGUUUUCAUUCGAAAUAGAAACUAACGUUUUUAUUAUGAAGUGUGUUUAAUAAUGAUUGAAAACAUCUUUGGUAACAAAAAGAUUAUUGUAAGAUUUUUGGAUGCAAAAAUAUAAAAACAUAUUAGAAAUUUGGAGUAAUAUUUAUGCAACAUUUUGGUACAAAAUAAAUCAUUAUUUACAGAUACAUAUUGCAACCCAAAACAAUGCUAAAGUAUCUAAUUCAAAAAAAAAAAAAAAAAACACAAACACACACCAAACACAAAACAACAAAUAGGCCGAACUCACAAAACAUACUCAUCAUAAAAAAUAAAAUAGAAAAUAUAAAAAUAUAUUUAAUAAAAAAAUAUUGUAAAUUUGAAAUUAAGUCAUAUAAAGCGGGAACAGGAGUGGGAGUGAGAGCGAAUUCGAGAGCGAGAGAGUGAGAGUGGCAGAAUUAAUUCAUGAGCAAUGAAAAUUUGAAUAAGGGUGCGAGCAGAAUGUGAGACCGGGAACACGCUCAGGGUAUUAUGACUUAGAUUUUGAAAUAAUAUUUUAAUAUUUAUGCAACAGUUUGGAAUAAAAUAAAUCAUUAUUUACGGAUACAUAUUGCGACCCAAUACAAUGCUAACAACAAAUAGGCCGAACUCACAAAACAUACACAUCAUAAAAAAACGAAUAAUAAUAAUAAUAAAUAAAAUAAAAAACAUGGGAGAGGAUUCAAUGCACUACCAAAAUAUUACCACGUUGUCCGGUGGUUGAACCUCGAACCCUCCUCCCCUUUCCCCUCCCCUCUAAUCACCGACUCACACACACACACACACACACACACACACAUAUAUAUGUAUCAUUUUUGCAUAGAUAUGGUAAAAUAAUGGCACAGUGGACAUGGAAAAUAAUUUUCCUUUUCAGACCAAAAUGCUUCCAAAGUCUAAAACUCAUCUCCCUAUAUGCGCGUGCAAGAAGCGCUCUCCGUCGAUGACUAAUUGAAGAAGCCGAAUGCCCUAAUAGCUGUUCUAAGGUCCCAAUGGCAUAAAGAAUUGUUAUCGUGAAGAACUUUUAUAAGAGUCGGACUAUGAAUUGUAGAGGCGAACCAGAUGACUCAAUGUUCCACCAUUCUUGAGUGGGGCUACAAAUCUGUUGGGCAAGUGAAGCUCUUUGAGGCGAGUGAGGUUUCUAAUACCCUCUGGAACCUGCUGCAGGUUAUUGCACUGUCUUAUAAUCAGCUUUUGGAGAUAAGGUAAGGUAGUCUCUUCCAUUCUGACCUUUCUCAAUGCUUCCAGUUGCUCAAGUUCCAAGAUCUUCAGACUUUGAAAUUUGUUUUUUUGAGAAAUCUAACUGGUUUCCAGUACAGGAAUCGACCAGCUGGAGCUCCAAUAGAUUAGGAAGAUCUUGAAGGAUAUCAAUGGGGUUAUUGUAGUGUGUUAACUUGGACCACUUAAGACGUAUCCUUUUUAGGUCACAAAGUCUGGAAAUCCAAUUUGGUAACUUUUCUAACUGCCCUUUCAGAUACAGGCGUUGAAGAAAUUGUGGAGGAUUGGUAAUUGCCUGUAGAUCUACAACCUCAUCCUUUUUUAAUGAUGUUACAUUCAAGGAACGGAGGUUUUCCAGCUUUUCAAUUGACUGGCACAAAUUGGACCCAUCUUCUGUUGGAAGAUCAAUGAUCCCUAACUUUCUUAGUUGUGUCAGAUUUCUUAGCCAAUGAAUCACCCCGUGAUGGCUAUUUGCCUUUAUUAAUGAUGGCUUCUGCAAGCUAGGUGUCUGGAUCUCUGCUGAUAUCUCGAAUCCUGUAACACAAUCAGAAGUUGUAUAAUGUCUGUCAUAGCUAUAAACAAGCAAAUGCCGAAGUUUCUUAAGUUCGAGGACUUUUUUGGGCAGCUUUGCCACUCUAGUUUGCUUAAGGUCCAAGGUCUCUAGGUACCUAAGAUUCCCCAGAGACUUAGGAACGCUUUUGAUAUUGGUCUUCCUCAAACACAGAUACUUCAAGAGCAGUAAACCCACAAUUUCCUUAGGAAAUUCCUCCAAUGAUGCACCUUCCAAAUGCAGAACUCUCAAUAAUUUCAAGUCUCGAAUGGAGCUGUAGGGUACACGGAACAUAAAAAGGGUGCAAACACUCUUAAAGUUCCCAUCCAACUUGUUGAGUCCACUACUUUGGACAGAUAAUCGACGGUUCUUGUCACCAAAGUUUCUUUGUGAUUCUGAAAAAACAUUGCAAAAAUUCUCCUCUCUUGACUUUGAGAGAAUAAUCUUGUGCAUGAGAUUAUGUACCCGGCAAGUUUUUGGCUUCCCAUCAAAAUCCAAUUCACUUUGUAUCAAGUUCCUGUUGCUGAGUUCUUCUAGGUAUUCCUCUCCAAUCUCUUCAAGUUCUUUGCCUGUUUGUGCUCUUAUAAAACCCUCUGCUAUCCACAGCCGAAUCAAUACUCUGCACCUAACUGGGUAAGUAUCCUCAGGGAAAAUGGUCAAGUACAGAAAACAAUACUUGAGAUGGUACGGCAAAUCAUUGUAACUUAGAGAUAGUACUCUCAUGGUCUUUGAAAGGCGGCCAUCUAUGCUCAACUCUGAUCCAAGGCUUCCAAGCAAUGUUUGCCAUACAGAUUCAGAAUUCUGUUUAUACAGAAUUUUACCGAUUUCAAUGACUGCAAUUGGCAAUCCUUCGCAUUUUGUUAAGAUUCUUUGGGACCAGUCCUCCAACCAUGAAGGACAUAUGCCAUCUGGGUAAGCUUUCUUUUAGAAGAGUUGUUUAGCCUUUUCCGUAGGAAGAGACUGGAUGUUAUAGACAUCAGUAGAGUUAUCUCUACAUGAAAAAGCUAUAUCGCCUCUUCGUGUAGUGACAAUUAUUCUACUGUGAUUACCUCCAGGUAAUGCAUUUCUAAUGGUUUCCCAAACAUCUUUAAUCCACAAAUCAUCAAGAACUAAAACAUACCUUUUGUUUUGCAGAUGAUCCUUUAGUUUGCUCGUCAGGUGGACCACGUUGGAGUGAGAUGAGCUCUGGGAAGUUGGCUCGACUGGCGGCAGAUUGCAGAAUUCUGUGAACAUCCUCCGUAAGAGCUCCACUUUAUUUAUUGACCUUCCAAAAGUGAUCCAAGCAUGACAUUCAAAUCCUUCAUUCUUCACCGUCUCAUACGCAUGCUUAACAACAGUUGUUUUGCCCAAUCCUCCCAUCCCGAUUACAAACACCACCUUGAGACUUUGCCUCCCUUUUUGUGCCCAAGUAAUCAGUUUCUGUGUAGGUUUUUCAAUCCCCACAAUAUCAGUGUCUUCAGCGAACAGAGGAUCUAUUCUUGGAGGAAGGUAUGUGUCGUUUCCAGUCGUCGAACUCGAGGCUUGAAACGGACUGAUGCUAUGAUAUCUCUCCUUUGAUGCUUUUGAGUUUCAUGUUAAUACCUUCAAUUAGUUCAUCGAUGUGGUGGCGUGCUCUCCAUUUGGUGACGAACUCAAGGCCGUGGCUAAUAGACUGUUGAACCAUGUGAAACGUAAAAAUGUCGAGAAGAUCCUCGAUGUCAUAAGUUCCAUCCCGAAGUUUUUGAAGCCAGACACUGACUUGGUUAUUGUGCUCUCUUUCGGUAUCGGCAUCCUUCAGAAGUGCGCUAAUGCUUUGGAAUUCACCUCUCAAGCUGUCGACCUCUGUGUUAAUCUUUUCCGGCAACUUCCAUUCUGCCUCCAGUCAAAUUUGAAGCUUAUCAAGUAGAAAGUGUUCUUUUUCUAAUUCUGAAUUUUUAGAGGAUACAAGAAGACUGCCCUCUGUACGUGUAAUUCUAAUUUUUAUGUCUUCAAAUAAGAACUUUUAAGUCGAACACUAUAAUUAUCAUCAAGAUAUUAAUAUAUAUUUAAAGCAUUAUUAGGUAGAUAA